GCUCCUUUAGCUCAGUUGGAUAGAGCAACAGAUUUCUAAUCUGUGGGUCAUAGGUUCGAGUCCUAUAAGGAGUA
rnacentral:tRNA from 1 species